AUCCCCGACGAUGUACUCCUCGAGAUACUCUUCCGCGUGUCCGCAGACGUCGCCGCCCUGGUCCGAUGUGCCGCGACCUGCAAGCAGUGGUGUGCUCUCAUAGCCGACCCGUGCUUCCUCCGCCGCCGCUGGCCGGAGAACACGAGCCACCCGUCCUCUCUCCUCGGGUUCUUCGAUCAGCACGAUCGAGGCCUUGUCUUUGUCCCGGCGCCAUCAGGACCAACGCUCGGCGCUGGUUGUCGUUUGUUCUCCUCGUCCGUCUGCGGCGUGCAGGCUGACCUCUUGGACGGUGCGACGCCGGUCACCGCACGCUGUGGCCUCCUCCUGGCGCGCCUUGCCCGCGGUUCAAAUAUGAACUCGGUCCACUUGGCCGUGUAUGACCUGCUGGCCCGCACAUGCGAUGUGCUUCCCCCGCUCCAGUGUGAAGUUUCGGGCAUCAGUUGUGCCAUUCUAACCGGUUCAGACUAUCGCUCAUCAGACGGGUUGCAGCAGCGAGCAUCAUCUCCUGGUUACUCUACGUUCUUUACAGUGCAAACCCUUGUCAAUUACGCCAAUGUCGAGAGAAUGGAGUACAAGUGCAACCUCUACACGUUUUCAUCUGCCAAGGCGAGUUGGAGUGCGCCUAGAAGCUGCUUCGGCGACAAGACUUGGGCAUGUCGGAAUGGUGGCGGCUUUUGGAUGCCAUUUGAGAACCACAAUCGGCACAGCCACGAUGCCGUCGUGUGUGGCGGCAGGACGCACUGGAUCACCGCGUACCAGCCAGUUGGGGGUCCAAGAAAGUAUCACACCUUCAAUGUCAGUGUCGAUACAGGUCACGUCUCCUUGACAGAGCUCUCCAUCCCACUCCUCAAAGGCUUUUAUGGCUGGCCCAUACUUUGCGUCGGAGUGGAGGGGACACUUAUGUUGUUGAAGGUAGACAGUAAAGCUGGCAUCCCGCGCCUAGAUAUCUGGACGCGCCGGGGAGGCAGCGAUGGAGAGAGUGAAACCUUUUGGCUCCCUGUUGGGGUGUUUGACCUAAAAUCACCCACAAAGAAGUGGUGUCCUGCGAUGAUCCGUGUGUGGUUAGGAGAAAAGAGCGGUACAUUGUUCAUCUUAGAUGCGUCAUGCCACAUGCACAAGUUGGACACUGAAACAGGAGCAAUGGAGGAUGUAACAGGAUUACUUCGAUACAGCUUGUCUAUCAGUGCCGUGGCUAUAGAGAUUGAUUGGCCGGCAUUGUUCCUAUCUCGGCUUGGU
rnacentral:rRNA from 1 species